CGCCUCCCGCCCCUGCGCGUGAACGUAGCGGCUUCCCACGCGCUGUGGGGUGUGAGGACCCCAGUCGCUGGGCUGCCAUUCUGGAGCGCCACGAGAGGUGCUACGGGCGAGCGCGAGCCCCCGAGGGCGGCUGGAAGCCCCGGACUGUUGGUAGAGUGGAAGGGGAUAGAGAUCGGUGGGGCGAGCGUCCUCCGUGGCCAGUCCUCCCCUCACCGCCCUUCCUCAGCAGUCCUGGCAGCUGGAGCUCCAGAGAUGGAGGCCUUCAUGUCAGAUGAGGCGGUGGCCACAGUGCCCGGCUGGCCGGCCCCACAGUACACCCUCAGCCAGUGCCUCAGGACAGUGGACUCCCUACCUAGUGGAGACAGCACUGUGGACCUGGGCUGUGGGGCAGAGGCUGUGCCCAGACCUGCUGCCCAACCUUGGCCCCAGCCUGGCCACCCACGAGGAUGCUAGGCCAGCCAAGAAGCAUGGAACCCAGGCCGAGUAAACUUGGCCAUGGCCCAGGCCUGCUCACCUGCCACAGAACCUCAGGCCUCCGGGUCUCACUGGACGGCAGGGAGGCUGAAGAGGAGGCUGGCCACUACGGGAGCUCAAUAAACACUUCCCAAACUCACGCCUGAUCACACACCCGGCCUGACCACACACCUGGCCUGACCACACGCCCGGCCCCCAGCCAUCCCGCGUGCCCCCAGCUCCCACAGACACAGCACCUGUGGCCCAGGAACAACUCCCACGCCUGACCCCAGGUGCAGAGAUGCACAAGGAGGGAAGUCCAGGCCCCCGUGGUGGGGAGGGCCGUCGCGGUCUGUGCAGCAGGUGUGGGGGCCCUGACGAGUCUCCAGAGCCCGGGACAGCCCCCUGGUGCUGUGUAAAAUAUUUAUUAAUUAUCCAAAAAGGCUCA
rnacentral:lncRNA from 10 species